rnacentral:tRNA from 1 species
GGAGGCAUAGCUCAGCUGGUUAGAGCGUUCGGUUCACAUCCGAGUGUUAUUGGGUUCGUGUCCCCAUGUCUCCACCA